UUUGGUAAUUCUUUUCUUAAUUUUAUUCAUGAUACUUUCAUAGAUAUUUAUACAUUACUUUUCUCAAAACUUACCUAAGACACUGAUUUGAGACUUUCCUUAUAAGUCUCACAAUCAUGACUUACAUAAACAAUCCUUUCCUAAUAUAUACCACUUACCUUAUCAGUCUCAAGUUCGUGACUGAUAUGGACAAUACUUUCCAUAUAUACCACUCACCUUAUCAGUCUCAAGUUCGUGACUGAUAUGGACAAUACUUUCCAUAGACUUACCACUACGGUCUUGGAAAGUAUUACCACUUUCCUUAAUAUUGGUCUACUUUAAAAUUAGCUUUAAUGCAGUGUGUGGAUUAUGAUGAAUAAAAAAACAAGAAAAUUGUCCAAAAUGCCAGAGGAAGUUAGAGAUGAAAUGGCACCUCAUACAAUGGAUUAUCGCAUCCGCGAAAACAUCAAACUGUCAAAGCUUCAUGACAACGCAUCUGAUUUUGUCCAGGUUUAACAGCACGUUGGAGUGACUUAGAUGUUAACCACCAUGUGAAUUUUUCCAAAUACAUUGAUUGGAUUCUCGAGUCUGGCCUUGGUUUGUUUCUGAAAGUUAAAGACAAUAUAUCAAAUGCUUUUACACAAUGCUCCUAUGAUAAUCUUAGAAAGUCGGGAGCUUUGUGACCCGACUCUGGAGUUUAAGAGGGAAUGUAGAAUAGGCGAUGAGCUAAAGUCUUUGACAAAAGUUACUGAAAAUGGUGCUUAUACUGAAUGUCAACACAUGCUUCAAUUUGAGAACGGAAAUGAAGUUGUGAGGGGAAGAACCAAAUGGAAGCCAGCUGAAUAAAAAUGAGAGCAUAUAAAUGUUGGGUGAGGAGAACACACUUAUCACAUUCAAUGUUAACAGAUUAAUCGUCCCCUUAAAUAAUGUAUAUAGCCCAUCCUCUUUUUGGAGUGCUUGUGUUUGUUCAUAGGGUGUGCAAUAAGCCUGCUAUUGCUCUUGCUAAGCAAGCUCGAAUAAAUUGUAUU